ACGAACGCUGGCGGCGUGCUUAACACAUGCAAGUCGAACGAUGACGACCGAGCUUGCUCGGUCUGAUUAGUGGCGAACGGGUGAGUAACACGUGAGCAACCUGCCCUUCACUCUGGGAUAACCUCGGGAAAUCGGGGCUAAUACCGGAUAUGAGCUCCUGUCGCAUGGCGGGUGUUGGAAAGUUUUUCGGUGAAGGAUGGGCUCGCGGCCUAUCAGUUUGUUGGUGAGGUAGUGGCUCACCAAGGCGAUGACGGGUAGCCGGCCUGAGAGGGCGACCGGCCACACUGGGACUGAGACACGGCCCAGACUCCUACGGGAGGCAGCAGUGGGGAAUAUUGCACAAUGGGCGAAAGCCUGAUGCAGCGACGCCGCGUGAGGGAUGACGGCCUUCGGGUUGUAAACCUCUUUCAGCAGGGAAGAAGCGUAAGUGACGGUACCUGCAGAAGAAGCGCCGGCUAACUACGUG
rnacentral:rRNA from 1 species